rnacentral:rRNA from 1 species
GAUGAACGCUAGCGGGAGGCCUAACACAUGCAAGCCGAGCGGUAGAGUCUCUUCGGAGACUUGAGAGCGGCGCACGGGUGCGGAACACGUGUGCAACCUGCCUUUAUCUGGGGGAUAGCCUUUCGAAGGGAAGAUUAAUACCCCAUAAUAUACUGGAUGGCAUCAUCUGGUAUUGAAAACUCCGGUGGAUAGAGAUGGGCACGCGCAAGAUUAGAUAGUUGGUGAGGUAACGGCUCACCAAGUCAGCGAUCUUUAGGGGGCCUGAGAGGGUGAUCCCCCACACUGGUACUGGGACACGGACCAGACUCCUACGGGAGGCAGCAGUGAGGAAUAUUGGACAAUGGGUGAGAGCCUGAUCCAGCCAUCCCGCGUGAAGGACGACGGCCCUAUGGGUUGUAAACUUCUUUUGGAUAGGGAUAAACCUAGAUACGUGUAUCUAGCUGAAGGUACUAUACGAAUAAGCACCGGCUAACUCCGUG